rnacentral:rRNA from 1 species
AUGGGUAUGCAGGCUCUGAUGGAUGUCCGGUGCAUGAAUCUAGUCAACCCUGUAUGCGAAUGGCUUGGUGAGAUUUACGACCCCGCCUCCAGGGAAUUUGUGAUUCCGGUACGUGGAAGACUGCCAUUUAACAAGGAAUCCAUGUUCUGCACUUUGGGUGUGCCCCGUGGAGAAAUCAAAGUCCCGUAUGAGGUCAAUAAUAAGAUCGAGGAAACGUUGUUCCCCCAUUUGUUUCCUGGGUUGGAAUCCAUGCCGAACACGUCUUUCCUGGCAGAUUCGUUGCAGGCCAUGACAACCCAUGGCGAGGUUUUUAAGAUGAAACUACUCAUGUACCUCAUCUCAGUUGUUUUCGCGCCGACCACUUCUCUUCGCCCAAGCAACAAAUGCUCCCCCAUCCUGGCGAAACUGAAAGAUGUGAAGAACAUGAAUUGGUGUAAGUUCAUUGCCGACUUCCUGCAUGAUGCAUUCUCAAGCAAGAUGUACCAGAAGGGUUGUCGACUGCAUUUAAUGCUCAUGUACGUCGACUGUCUUGAACUGUCCACCGUGGAUUUAACUGGGACAGGAGGCCCGCCGCCUAUGCACAAGUUUGCUGUUUCGGCGUGGACUUACGAUGCUGUCAAGGUUGUGCUUGCAGCAGACAGGGUAACUGAUACCAAAUAUAUAAAACUGCAGCUGAUGGCCAAGCAUGCUAUAGACUAUAGCGUGUGUGGGGGGCCUCAAAACUUUGGAAAGUGGAUGGACAUGCACUCAGCUCCGUCUUGCCCUACUAAGGCGAGGGCACCCGUUGAGCAUCUAAUUGGGCAGUUUGCAUCCAGAAUGACCAUCUUGCUCGGGAAGUUGGUUGAGGGUUGGACGUCCCUUAACGACUCUGACAGCGACGCGGUUGCGAGGCAGUUCACUACAUUUGUCCCAGAACGGACACAUCGGCUAACUGGUUGCCGUGGCCGGUACGACUACAACAGUUCCCAAGAGCUUGCUGACACACAAGAUGAACUAGAUGGAGAUGCUGGUCUCAACAAGUAUGAUGACGAUGACAUGGAGAACGUGCAACACGACACCGAUGAUGAUGAACAUGUUGAAGUUCGUGCAGGUGGUAAGAAGGGCAAGGAUGCACCAGAUGUCCCCCAACCGGAGAAAGUCAAAGAACAUACGGCUGCGAGAGGCGAGGGGGUGUUGCCCUCAAAGAGGGGGAGGGCUCCAGAGGAUGUUGGGCAGGGUUCUCCUGGCAAGAGGUCUAGGACCGAUCCCGUA